rnacentral:lncRNA from 1 species
GGCUUAGACAAGACCCGAGCCAUCAUGGCCUCCAAGUGUGACUAAGCCAUGGUGGAAAUCAAGAGCCAAGUAGGAGAUCACUGUGGUAUGUACUCAGACAUGAUGAUCUAAUAUAUUAUUGCUUUAGUCACUGUCAUCAUAUCUUUCAAAAUUGUUAGCGAUUCUUUACCUCCUUUUAUGCUUUCUAUUGUCAUGGAUGUGCCCAUUCUAAUUUCAUGCAUAGUUUUCUUAUGUAAUCAUGGAGAUUAGAUCUAGCUCGUCGAUCCUUCAUGACAACAAGACACGCAUAAUGAUAUCUCUAGUGAGCCUAUGUGGUCGUGACAUUGGAACCUCUUGCACAGGACAACUAUAUAGUGAUAGGAUUUGGGUCUAGUAGAGUAUUAAGUAAUCAGGGAGUAUAACAGAGGGUAGUAGGUAGUUUAAAGAUGCUUUGGAUGAUGCAUGUACUUCCUCAUAGGCUAGAAAUAUAAUGAGAAGGCAUUUGGUUCUUAUGUUCUCUCUUGUAUUUACGUGGUUGUGUUCUAUUCAUGCCCACAAUGUUUAUCUUAUGUUGAAUUUAGUGUUAUAUGCAACUUAUGCUUUAUAUGGUAGGAUUAGAUUCAUUUAGUUAUAUAGAAAAUCUUAGUGAGUUUGGUUCUGAUCCUUUAACUCAAUAAAACUUUAGAGAAUACUAAGGGAAAAGCUACAAUGUCACCACUCACUCGCAUUUACAAAACAUGUGCACAAGAGGCAUCAAUAUCCUCCAUAUUCAUGUCAUUCUACUCGUUGAGAUUUGCCUCUGGCUCGACCUAAGGUAUCAUCGCUUCCUCCAUUUCAUGGUUUGCAGUGACAGGCCCUCCAGAUGUGUUGGUCAUUCAGAUCAUUAUGAGACAAGGGUGGUGAAGAAUGCAACAAGGGUGAAUCAUGCAGAGGGAAUUGUGACAAAAUGGGAGGUAAUAAAUGAAGUGAGAAGGGUGAAGCAUGUUGCAAGGUAGAGAAUUAUAAGAAAAAAAAACUGUGAAUGGAUGGCCCAUUCAUAAAAGAGCCUACAGCUAUAUUAAAAAACCAAUCCAUUUUACUAAACAUCCUUGUCCCAAUAUUUUCUCAUCUUGUAGCAGACGUUAUUUGCAGGAAUCAAUGGUAAUGUAACAUUUUUUAUACAAUUUUCAUGUGCUAUAAAAUCGACUUUGGAAUAGUAGAAUUGCAAAUCUGUUACAGGUGAGGCCUACAUGCCCAACAUGAAUUUCAGCCCUAAUGAGUAACUAAGGUAGAUCUGCAUAUUAUUUAAAGUAUUGUAAGCAUGAAUUACAAACUAAGUUCAAGC